GAUGAACGCUAGCGGGAGGCCUAACACAUGCAAGCCGAGCGGUAUUUGUCCUUCGGGACAGAGAGAGCGGCGUACGGGUGCGGAACACGUGUGCAACCUGCCUUUAUCUGGGGGAUAGCCUUUCGAAAGGAAGAUUAAUACCCCAUAAUAUAUCGAAUGGCAUCAUUCGAUAUUGAAAACUCCGGUGGAUAGAGAUGGGCACGUCGCAAGAUUAGAUAGUUGGUGAGGUAACGGCUCACCAAGUACAGUGAUCUUUAGGGGGCCUGAGAGGGUGAUCCCCCACACUGGUACUGAGACACGGACCAG
rnacentral:rRNA from 1 species